AGACGGUAUCUGAGACAAGAUACCGGGCCCUACGGGGCGCAGCAGGCGCGAAACCUUUACACUGCACGCGAGUGCGAUAAGGGGACUCCAAGUGCGAGGGCAUAUAGUCCUCGCUUUUCGCGACCGUAAGGAGGUCGUAGAAUAAGUGCUGGGCAAGACCGGUGCCAGCCGCCGCGGUAAUACCGGCAGCACGAGUGAUGACCGCUAUUAUUGGGCCUAAAGCGUCCGUAGCU
rnacentral:ncRNA from 1 species